UACGUAGGGGGCGAGCGUUGUCCGGAAUCAUUGGGCGUAAAGCGCGUGUAGGCGGCCCGGUAAGUCCGCUGUGAAAGUCCAGGGCUCAACCCUGGGAUGCCGGUGGAUACUGUCGGGCUCGAGUACGGAAGAGGCGAGUGGAAUUCCUGGUGUAGCGGUGAAAUGCGCAGAUAUCAGGAGGAACACCAAUUGCGAAGGCAGCUCGCUGGGACGUUACUGACGCUGAGACGCGAAAGCGUGGGGAGCAAACAGG
rnacentral:rRNA from 1 species